UACGUAGGGCGCAAGCGUUGUCCGGAAUUAUUGGGCGUAAAGAGCUCGUAGGCGGCCAGUUGCGUCUGCUGUGAAAUCCCGGGGCUCAACCCCGGGCGUGCGGUGGAUACGGGCUGGCUAGAGGCAGGCAGGGGAGAACGGAAUUCCCGGUGUAGCGGUGAAAUGCGCAGAUAUCGGGGAGGAACACCGGUGGCGAAGGCGGUUCUCUGGGCCUGUACUGACGCUGAGGAGCGAAAGCGUGGGGAGCGAACAGG
rnacentral:rRNA from 1 species